CUAAUAACCAAACCUUAUCCUCCUCUUUUUUUUUUGCGUUCUGUCUCUCCUCGACUCCUCUCCUCAAUUCUCAUUGACCUCAGUACCUCUCUACUCAGCCACUCAGAUUGCAAAGGUGUAGGCCAGUAGGCCGUCUAGCAAUUUUGUGGGAUUCUGGAAUUGAGAAAAUUGGAGAAGUCGAGCAGUGAACAAACUCAGAGUCUCGGACUAUACUUUGAGUUCAGGGAAUCAGGUUCUCUCCUUCACCUUGAUUUGCUAAGAGACAGCUAGUGAUAUAUUGAAUUUCUUACAGGAAAGGAAUACUUGCCCAGUUGUUAGACUUGCAUAUCGAAUAUUGUUAAUUGUGUCUGUUACUGUUGCUUCAGCUGAGACGAGUUUUUCCAAGUUAAAGUUAUUGAAGUCUUAUUUGCGAUCAACUAUGUCACAAGAAAGGCUAAAUGGACUUGCUUUGAUUUCGAUUGAGAACGAAUAUCUUGGAAAAAUCAAUUGUGAUAAGCUAAUUGAUCAGUUUGCAGGUAAGAAGGCAAGGAGAUGGAUUUUGAAAUGAAUAUCAAUCAACACUGCUAGAAUGUGUUAUUUUGAGGGUUCCAGAUCAAGCAUAUUUUUGUAAUUAUCUUUUGCUGCAAACUUUGUGUUUGUAUUAAAUAUUUAGCCUUUUUUGUAGGCUCAUCUAAUGAUAUAUAUUGAUGAUACAUGUUGGUUAUUUGAUUUUAUGUUUUGAGUUUAUUCCAGUAUAAAUUUCAUAUAAGACUGAAGCUUGGAGGGCCGCAUUUUAAACUUUCGCACAGGGCCUCCGAAAAGUUUGAGACGGCUCUGAUGGACUCUAGCAUCAGAAUCUGAGAGCUACAAGCUCUAUUAUCUAUUAUUUAUUUAAACAAUUGUAUGUCUACAUUUGUAUGAAAAGCCAGAGUCUCUUUCCUUUAAUGAGAUGUUUCAUAGGACUAUGGCAUGGUUGUUUUGUAUUUGAUACCUGAGUACUUUAUUGUUCUUGUGAACAAUUGGGAGAUUUUAUCUUGAUGACAUGCUGACCAAAACCGUAUCGAAAGGAAACAGGUGCCACUUUUUGGUGUGGAAGGAAGGUUCGAAAGGAUAAACCAGCAUCCAGUAAUGUAUCAGCAAUAUUUGAGUUAUUUUUCACAAGGAAUUUCUAUCAUUUGGAUUCGUAUCAUUUCUGAUUGUUUGCAAAAUGCAGGGACUCAUUCGUUUUCCAUAGGAGUCACAGAAGUCAUUAAUACAAAUCUCUUGAUAGAACUAAGUGCUGAUGACGUAGAUUAUGUCUACCAAAGGAGUCCUGGGAAAAUCUUAAGCAUCAAUAUCCCAACAUUUGAGGCCCUUACUCAAUUUGGAACUGCUACAAUCACAGCAAAGAAUACUGGUGAAGUGGAAGCAUCCUAUUGCUUAACGUUUGAUUGCUCAAGUGAUGUCACCCUUAUGGAGGAGCAAUACUUCAUUAUGAAGCCAAAAGAAACGUUAACUCGAUCAUUCAAGCUUUACCCAGGAACCGAUCAAGCUGCAAAAUACAUAUGUGCAGGUAUGAUCUGCCCAAGCCAUAGUGAUGAUAAAAUGGCCUAAAGUAGUCACGCUUGGACUCAUUUCUGGAUCUUGAAUGCAACUAUACUUAAGGACUCUAAUUAUAAUGAAGUGGAUAGAGCCGAGUGCCAAUUUUCUACGACGUCUACUGUCAUUGAUAAUGGAUCACAGGGUAAUCCCUUUAAGCCACCAAAGACAGGAACAACUGGUUUCUUUGACUCCAUUGAAAGCUUUUGGAACCAUGUGUGGAAGACUUUUAUAGAUUUCAUCACUGGAAAAUCUUGCAGUCGUCAAUUAUGACAGUGAGGACUGGGAAGGAAGACAUUAGAGCCAUAACAAGGAUGCCCACUCUGCGGUAAUGAUCCAAAGCUCGAGAAGCAACAUAAAUGAGUUUUGGACUGGGAUCUUAGAGCUCGAGAAGCAAGUGCUAUGGAUUACCUCCUUUCAGCAUAUGAGCUACCAAGUUUGAUUCAUGGGUCUAGCGCGCAGCUAGGAAUAAUGCUUUUGAUUCAUGUGUAGGUAGUAGCUAGGAAGGCUUUCUUGUUUGGUACAUUAUCUAAUAACUUGAAUGUUUGGAAGUUUGAAAAACUUAUAUGAUAUGGAUUAAUUAGUGUGGUUUUA